AUGAACGCUGCGGCAGGCCUACACAUGCAAGUCGAACGGUAGCACAGAGAGCUUGCGUCUCGGGUGACGAGUGGCGGACGGGUGAGUAAUGUCUGGGAAACUGCCUGAUGAGGGGGAGUAACGUACUGGAACGGUAGCUAAUACCGCAUAACGUACGCAAGACCAAAGAGGGGGACCUUCGGGCCUCUUGCCAUCAGAUGUGCCCAGAUGGGAUUAGCUAGUAGGUGGGGUAACGGCUCACCUAGGCGACGAUCCCUAGCUGGUCUGAGAGGAUGACCAGCCACACUGGAACUGAGACACGGUCCAGACUCCUACGGGAGGCAGCAGUGGGGAAUAUUGCACAAUGGGCGCAAGCCUGAUGCAGCCAUGCCGCGUGUAUGAAGAAGGCCUUCGGGUUGUAAAGUACUUUCAGCGGGGAGGAAGGCGAUAAGGUUAAUAACCUUGUCGAUUGACGUUACCCGCAGAAGAAGCACCGGCUAACUCCGUG
rnacentral:rRNA from 1 species